GAUGAAGAACGCAGCGAAAUGCGAUAAGUAAUGUGAAUUGCAGAAUUCAGUGAAUCAUCGAAUCUUUGAACGCACCUUGCGCUCCUUGGUAUCCCGAGGAGCAUGCCUGUUUGAGUGUCAUUAAAUUCUCAACCUCACCAGUUUUGUAACGAGACAGGUGAAGGCUUGGAUGUGGGGGUUUUGCAGGCUGCCUCAGUGCUGGUCUGCACUCCUGAAAUGCAUUAGCGAGCCCAUAUUGAGCUUCCGUCUAUUGGUGUGAUAAUUAUCUACGCCGUGGAUUGGACUCAUGCUUGCUUCUAACCGUCCGCAAGGACAAUUUACUUGACCAAUUUGACCUCAAAUCAGGUAGGACUACCCGCUGAACUUAAGCAUAUCAAUAAGCGGAGGA
rnacentral:misc_RNA from 1 species